GGAGAGGAAAGAGAAUGGAGAGAGGGAGGCAGAGAGAGAAAGAGAGGGAGAGGAGAGAGAAUAGAGAGGCAGAGACAGAAAUAGAGGGAGAGGAGAGUCAAUGGAGAUACGGAGGCAGAGAGAGGAAGAGAGGGAGGCAGAGAGAGAAUGGAGAGAGGGAGGCAGAGAGAGAAAGAGAGUUAGGCAAAGAGAGAAAGAGAGGGAGAGGAGAGAGAAUGGAGAGAGGGAGAGGAGAGAGAAUGGAGAGAAGGAGAGGAGACAGAAUGGAGAGAGGGAGGCAGAGAGAGAAUGGAGAGAGGGAGAGGAGAGAGAAUGGAGAGAGGGAGAGGAGAGAGAAUGGAGAGAGGGAGAGGAGAGAGGAUGGAGAGAGGGAGAGGAGAGAGAAUGGAGAGAGGGAGGCAGAGAGAGAUUGGAGAGAGGGAGAGGAGAGAGAAUAGAGAGAGGGAGAGGAUAGAGAAUGGAGAGGGAUAGGAGAGAGAAUGGUAAGAGUGAGAGGAGAGAGAGGGAGAGGAUAAUCGAGAGAGGGAGAGGAGAGAGAACGAGAGGGAGAGGAGAGAGAAAUAGAGGGAGAGGAGAGAGAGGGAGAGGAUAAUCGAGAGAGGGAGGCAGAGAGAGAACGAGAGGGAGAGGAGAGAGAAAUAGAGGGAGAGGAGAGAGAAUGGAGAGAUGGAGGCAGAGAGAGAAAGAGAGGGAGGCAGAGAGAGAAAGAGAGGGAGAGGAUAGAGAAUGGAGAGAGGGAGAGGAGAGAGAAUGGAGAGAGGGAGGCAGAGAGAGAAAGAGAGGGAGAGGAGAGAGAGAGAGGAGGUGAUGCAGACCUCUCACAUCCUCAUCCUAGUGCAUGAUCUGCCAAUGUGUCAGGAUUAAUGUGUGAGCAGAGUUUGUGUGUGUGUGUGCAUGUGUGUGCGUGUGUGUGUGUGUGUGUGUGUGUGUGUGUGUGUGUGUGUGUGUGUGAGCAAGCAAGGCAUUAGCUCAUCUCUGAGUGCUGAGGGACUAGCAGUGUUCUGUAAUCCUACCAGUCACACACACACACACACACACACACACACACACAC
ensembl:lncRNA